rnacentral:rRNA from 1 species
GUGUCAGCCGCCGCGGUAAGACAGAGGGUGCAAACGUUGUUCGGAAUUACUGGGCGUAAAGCGCGUGUAGGUGGCCUGGCAAGUCGGAUGUGAAAGCCCUCGGCUCAACCGGGGAAGUGCAUCCGAAACUACCAGGCUCGAGUGUCGGAGAGGGAAGUGGAAUUCCCGGUGUAGAGGUGAAAUUCGUAGAUAUCGGGAGGAACACCAGUGGCGAAGGCGGCUUCCUGGACGAACACUGACACUGAGACGCGACAGCGUGGGGAGCAAACAGGAUUAGAAACCCGUGUAGUCC